rnacentral:rRNA from 1 species
CAGCAGCCGCGGUAAAACGAAGGGGGCUAGCGUUGCUCGGAAUUACUGGGCGUAAAGGGCGCGUAGGCGGCGCUCCAAGUUAGGCGUGAAAUUCCCGGGCUCAACCUGGGGACUGCGCUUAAGACUGGAGUGCUUGAGGAUGGAAGAGGGUUGCGGAAUUCCCAGUGUAGAGGUGAAAUUCGUAGAUAUUGGGAAGAACACCGGUGGCGAAGGCGGCAACCUGGUCCAUUACUGACGCUGAGGCGCGAUAGCGUGGGGAGCAAACAGGAUUAGAUACCCGCGUAGUCCCUGUCUCUUAUAA